GACGUAGGGCGCGAGCGUUGUCCGGAUUGAUUGGGCGUAAAGAGCUCGUAGGCGGCUCAUUGCGUCAACCGUGAAAACCUGCCGCUCAACGGUAGGCUUGCGGUUGAUACGGGUGGGCUGGAGUUCGGUAGGGGAGACUGGAAUUCCUGGUGUAGCGGUGAAAUGCGCAGAUAUCAGGAGGAACACCGGUGGCGAAGGCGGGUCUCUGGGCCGAUACUGACGCUGAGGAGCGAAAGCGUGGGGAGCGAACAGG
rnacentral:rRNA from 1 species